GAUGAACGCUGGCGGCGUGCCUAAUACAUGCAAGUCGAGCGAACGGACGAGAAGCUUGCUUUUCUGAUGUUAGCGGCGGACGGGUGAGUAACACGUGGAUAACCUACCUAUAAGACUGGGAUAACUUCGGGAAACCGGAGCUAAUACCGGAUAAUAUUUUGAACCGCAUGGUUCAAAAGUGAAAGACGGUCUUGCUGUCACUUAUAGAUGGAUCCGCGCUGCAUUAGCUAGUUGGUAAGGUAACGGCUUACCAAGGCAACGAUGCAUAGCCGACCUGAGAGGGUGAUCGGCCACACUGGAACUGAGACACGGUCCAGACUCCUACGGGAGGCAGCAGUAGGGAAUCUUCCGCAAUGGGCGAAAGCCUGACGGAGCAACGCCGCGUGAGUGAUGAAGGUCUCCGGAUCGUAAAACUCUGUUAUUAGGGAAGAACAUAUGUGUAAGUAACUGUGCACAUCUUGACGGUACCUAAUCAGAAAGCCACGGCUAACUACGUG
rnacentral:rRNA from 1 species